rnacentral:rRNA from 1 species
AACGAACGCUGGCGGCGUGCUUAACACAUGCAAGUCGAACGCGAAAGGGACUACGGUCCUGAGUAAAGUGGCGGCACGGGUGAGUAACGCGUAGAUAACCUGUCUUCAUGUCUGGAAUAAUACGCCGAAAGGGGUACUAAUACCGGAUAUUCUUGCUUUUCAUAAGUUAUGCAAGCAAAGGUGGCCUCUGCAUAUGCUACUGCAUGAAGAGGGGUCUGCGUACCAUUAGCUAGUAGGUGGGGUAAUGGCCUACCUAGGCGACGAUGGUUAGCGGGUCUGAGAGGAUGAUCCGCCACACUGGCACUGGAACACGGGCCAGACUCCUACGGGAGGCAGUAGUGAGGAAUAUUGCGCAAUGGGGGAAACCCUGACGCAGCGACGCCGCGUGAGUGAGGAAGGCCUUCGGGUCGUAAAGCUCUGUCAAGAGGAAAGAAGUGUACAAUGGCUAAUACCUGUUGUAUUUGACGGUACCUCUAAAGGAAGCACCGGCUAACUCCGUGCCAGCAGCCGC